rnacentral:rRNA from 1 species
CCGGGACCCGGGACCGGCCGACCGGGUAGGGUAGGUAAACGGUACGGUACGUAGCAACUAGUACCUAUCAGAGGGGGAUAACCCGGCGAAAGUCGGACUAAUACCGCAUGAAGCAGGGGCCCCGCAUGGGGAUAUUUGCUAAAGAUUCAUCGCUGAUAGAUAGGCAUGCGUUCCAUUAGGCAGUUGGCGGGGUAACGGCCCACCAAACCGACGAUGGAUAGGGGUUCUGAGAGGAAGGUCCCCCACAUUGGUACUGAGACACGGACCAAACUCCUACGGAAGGCAGCAG